rnacentral:rRNA from 1 species
UACGUAGGAGGCAAGCGUUGUCCGGAAUCAUUGGGCGUAAAGAGCGUGUAGGCGGCUCGGUAAGUCCGCUCUGAAAGCCCGGGGCUCAACCCCGGGAGGCGGGCGGAUACUGUCGAGCUAGAGUCCGGAAGAGGCGAGUGGAAUUCCUGGUGUAGCGGUGAAAUGCGCAGAUAUCAGGAGGAACACCAAUGGCGAAGGCAGCUCGCUGGGACGGUACUGACGCUGAGACGCGAAAGCGUGGGGAGCAAACAGG